UACGAAGGGGGCUAGCGUUGCUCGGAAUCACUGGGCGUAAAGGGUGCGUAGGCGGGUCUUUAAGUCAGGGGUGAAAUCCUGGAGCUCAACUCCAGAACUGCCUUUGAUACUGAGGAUCUUGAGUCCGGGAGAGGUGAGUGGAACUGCGAGUGUAGAGGUGAAAUUCGUAGAUAUUCGCAAGAACACCAGUGGCGAAGGCGGCUCACUGGCCCGGUACUGACGCUGAGGCACGAAAGCUUGGGGAGCAAACAGG
rnacentral:rRNA from 1 species